rnacentral:rRNA from 1 species
UACGUAGGGCGCAAGCGUUAUCCGGAAUUAUUGGGCGUAAAGAGCUCGUAGGCGGUUUGUCGCGUCUGCUGUGAAAGACCGGGGCUCAACUCCGGUUCUGCAGUGGGUACGGGCAGACUAGAGUGAUGUAGGGGAGACUGGAAUUCCUGGUGUAGCGGUGAAAUGCGCAGAUAUCAGGAGGAACACCGGUGGCGAAGGCGGGUCUCUGGGCCAUUACUGACGCUGAGGAGCGAAAGCGUGGGGAGCGAACAGG